rnacentral:rRNA from 1 species
ACUACGGGAGGCAGCAGUGAGGAAUAUUGGUCAAUGGGCGCGAGCCUGAACCAGCCAAGUCGCGUAAGGGAGGACGGCCCUACGGGUUGUAAACCUCUUUUGCCGGGGAGCAACGGGCGUCACGUGUGGCGCCACUGAGAGUACCCGGAGAAAAAGCAUCGGCUAACUCCGUGCCAGCAGCCGCGGUAAUACGGAGGAUGCGAGCGUUAUCCGGAUUUAUUUGGUUUAAAGGGUGCGUAGGCGGAUCGUUAAGUCAGUGGUCAAAUUGAGGGGCUGAACCCCUUCCCGCCAUUGAAACUGGCGCUUUUGAGGGGAAGAGAAGUAUGCGGAAUGCGUGGUGUAGCGGUGAAAUGCAUAGAUAUCACGCAGAACCCCGAUUGCGAAGGCAGCAUGCCGGCUUCCGACUGACGCUGAAGCACGAAAGCGUGGGGAUCGAACAGGAUUAGAUACCCGUGUAGUC